rnacentral:misc_RNA from 1 species
AACUUUUGGCAACGGAUCUCUUGGUUCUGGUAUCGAUGAAGAACGCAGCGAAAUGCGAUAAGUAAUGCGAAUUGCAGAAUUCAGUGAGUCAUCGAAUCUUUGAACGCACAUUGCGCCCCUUGGUAUUCCGAGGGGCAUGCCUGUUCGAGCGUCAUUAUAACCCUCAAGCCUAGCUUGGUAUUGAGGUCGCUAUCCAGCGGCCCCUAAAAUCAGUGGCGGUGCCCGUAGGUUCUACGCGUAGUAAUUUUUCUCGCUAUGGAUCCCUAUAGGCACUUGCCAACAACCCCAACUUUUUCAGGUUGACCUCGGAUCAGGUAGGGAUACCCGCUGAACUUAAGCAUAUCAAUAAGCGGAGGCU